GCUGGCGGUAUGCUUACACAUGCAGUCGAACGGAGUAGCAUACUUAGUGGCGGACGGGUGAGUACGCGUAAGAAUCUAGCUUCAGGUUCGGGACACAAUUGGAAACGAUUGCUAAUACCGGAUAUGCCUACGGGUAAAAGGCUUGCUGCCUGAAGAAGAGCUUGCGUCCGAUUAGCUAGUUGGUGGGGUAAAGGCUUACCAAGGCGGCGAUCGGUAGCUGGUCUGAGAGGAUGACCAGCCACACUGGGACUGAGACAAAGCCCAAACUCCUACGGGAGGCAGCAGUGGGGAAUUUUCCGCAAUGGGCGAAAGCCUGACGGAGCAAUACCGCGUGAGGGAAGAAGGCUCUUGGGUUGUAAACCUCUUUUCUCAGGGAAUAAAAAAAUGAAGGUACCUGAGGAAUAAGCAUCGGCUAACUCCGUGCCAGCAGCCGCGGUAAUACGGAGGAUGCAAGCGUUAUCCGGAAUGAUUGGGCGUAAAGCGUCCGCAGGUGGUACAACAAGUCUAGUGUCAAAGACCGGGGCUCAACCCCGGGAAGGCGGUGGAAACUGUUGAACUAGAGGGUCGUAGGGGUAGAGGGAAUUCCCAGUGUAGCGGUGAAAUGCGUAGAGA
rnacentral:rRNA from 1 species